GAGCUGGGGGUGGCCGCAGAGACCAGCGAGAAGCGACUGUUUACUAAAAACACAGGUCCGUGCGAAGCCGUAAGGCGAUGUAUACGGACUGACGCCUGCCCGGUGCUGGAACGUUAAGGGGACCGGUUAGCUCUGAUUCGUCGGGGCGAAGCUGAGAACUUAAGCGCCAGUAAACGGCGGUGGUAACUAUAACCAUCCUAAGGUAGCGAAAUUCCUUGUCGGGUAAGUUCCGACCUGCACGAAUGGCGUAACGACUUCUCGACUGUCUCAACCAUAGGCCCGGUGAAAUUGCAUUACGAGUAAAGAUGCUCGUUUCGCGCAGCAGGACGGAAAGACCCCGGGACCUUUACUAUAGCUUGAUAUUGGUGUUCGGUUCGGCUUGUGUAGGAUAGGUGGGAGACUUUGAAGCCGUGACGCCAGUCAUGGUGGAGUCGUCGUUGAAAUACCACUCUGGUCGUGCUGGAUGUCUAACCUGGGUCCGUGAUCCGGAUCAGGGACAGUGUCUGGUGGGUAGUUUAACUGGGGCGGUUGCCUCCUAAAGAGUAACGGAGGCGCCCAAAGGUUCCCUCAGCCUGGUUGGCAAUCAGGUGUUGAGUGUAAGUGCACAAGGGAGCUUGACUGUGAGACUGACGGGUCGAGCAGGGACGAAAGUCGGGACUAGUGAUCCGGCGGUGGCUUGUGGAAGCGCCGUCGCUCAACGGAUAAAAGGUACCCCGGGGAUAACAGGCUGAUCUUCCCCAAGAGUCCAUAUCGACGGGAUGGUUUGGCACCUCGAUGUCGGCUCGUCGCAUCCUGGGGCUGGAGUAGGUCCCAAGGGUUGGGCUGUUCGCCCAUUAAAGCGGUACGCGAGCUGGGUUUAGAACGUCGUGAGACAGUUCGGUCCCUAUCCGCUGUGCGCGUAGGAGUGUUGAGAAGGGCUGUCCCUAGUACGAGAGGACCGGGACGGACGAACCUCUGGUGUGCCAGUUGUCCUGCCAAGGGCAUGGCUGGUUGGCUACGUUCGGGAGGGAUAACCGCUGAAAGCAUCUAAGCGGGAAGCCUGCUUCGAGAUGAGCACUCCCACCUCCUUGAGAGGGUAAGGCUCCCAGUAGACGACUGGGUUGAUAGGCCGGAUAUGGAAGCCCUGUGAGGGGUGGAGUUGACCGGUACUAAUAGGCCGAGGGCUUGUCCUCAG
rnacentral:rRNA from 1 species